rnacentral:rRNA from 1 species
GACGAACGCUGGCGGCGUGCUUAACACAUGCAAGUCGAACGGAAAGGCCCUGCUUUUGUGGGGUGCUCGAGUGGCGAACGGGUGAGUAACACGUGAGUAACCUGCCCUUGACUUUGGGAUAACUUCAGGAAACUGGGGCUAAUACCGGAUAGGAGCUCCUGCUGCAUGGUGGGGGUUGGAAAGUUUCGGCGGUUGGGGAUGGACUCGCGGCUUAUCAGCUUGUUGGUGGGGUAGUGGCUUACCAAGGGUUUGACGGGUAGCCGGCCUGUGAGGGUGGCCGGCCACAUUGGGACUGAGAUACGGAGCAGACUCCUACGGGAGGCAGCAGUGGGGAAUAUUGCACAAUGGGCGGAAGCCUGAUGCAGCAACGCCGCGUGCGGGAUGACGGCCUUCGGGUUGUAAACCGCUUUCGCCUGUGACGAAGCGUGAGUGACGGUAAUGGGUAAAGAAGCACCGGCUAACUACGUG